CUACGGGUCGCUGCAGUGGGGAAUAUUGCACAAUGGGCGCAAGCCUGAUGCAGCCAUGCCGCGUGUAUGAAGAAGGCCUUCGGGUUGUAAAGUACUUUCAGCGGGGAGGAAGGGAGUAAAGUUAAUACCUUUGCUCAUUGACGUUACCCGCAGAAGAAGCACCGGCUAACUCCGUGCCAGCAGCCGCGGUAAUACGGAGGUUGCAAGCGGUAAUCGGAAUUACUGGGCGUAAAGCGCACGCAGGCGGUUUGUUAAGUCAGAUGUGAAAUCCCCGGGCUCAACCUAGGAACUGCAUCUGAUACUGGCAAGCUUGAGUCUCGUAGAGGGGGGUAGAAUUCCAGGUGUAGCGGUGAAAUGCGUAGAGAUCUGGAGGAAUACCGGUGGCGAAGGCGGCCCCCUGGACGAAGACUGACGCUCAGGUGCGAAAGCGUGGGGAGCAAACAGGAUUAGAUACCCGCGUAGUC
rnacentral:rRNA from 1 species